rnacentral:tRNA from 1 species
GGGGAUGUAGCUCAGCUGGGAGAGCGCUUGCUUUGCACGCAAGAGGUCGGGGGUUCGAAUCCCCCCAUCUCCACCA